rnacentral:rRNA from 1 species
UAGGGAAUCUUCGGCAAUGGGGGGAACCCUGACCGAGCAACGCCGCGUGAGUGAAGAAGGUUUUCGGAUCGUAAAGCUCUGUUGUUAAGGAAGAACGAGUGUGAGAAUGGAAAGUUCAUACUGUGACGGUACUUAACCAGAAAGGGACGGCUAACUACGUGCCAGCAGCCGCGGUAAUACGUAGGUCCCGAGCGUUGUCCGGAUUUAUUGGGCGUAAAGCGAGCGCAGGCGGUUAGAAAAGUCUGAAGUGAAAGGCAGUGGCUCAACCAUUGUAGGCUUUGGAAACUGUUUAACUUGAGUGCAGAAGGGGAGAGUGGAAUUCCAUGUGUAGCGGUGAAAUGCGUAGAUAUAUGGAGGAACACCGGUGGCGAAAGCGGCUCUCUGGUCUGUAACUGACGCGGAGGCUCGAAAGCGUGGGGAGCGAACAGG